UAUUACUGAUGCUUGUGAACACGUCUGCUGUAGCCUGCACUCACGGAGGCAGAGGGCCGUGGGGGAACUCUGCAGCCCAAGCUUGCGCCGCGCUCGCCCGUGGCCCAGGCAGGACCCUUCCGCGGCCUCCCAGUGGCAGCCACAGAUGUACGGAGCGCAAGAGGACGGCAGCGUCGGCGAAGGUGACCUGUCCUGCAUCCUCAAGACGGCCCUGGGGGUGGCAGAGCUCACCGUGACCGACCUAUUCCGAGCCAUUGACCAAGAGGAGAAGGGGAAGAUCACAUUCGCUGACUUCCACAGGUUUGCAGAAAUGUACCCUGCCUUCGCAGAGGAAUACCUGUACCCGGAUCAGACACAUUUCGAAAGCUGUGCAGAGACCUCACCUGCGCCAAUCCCAAACGGCUUCUGUGCCGAUUUCAGCCCGGAAAACUCAGACGCUGGGCGGAAGCCUGUUCGCAAGAAGCUGGAUUAGGACCCAGGGUUGCGGAGAGACGCGGCCCCUCCCGCGUGGACAUCACCGCCAUGAGCCUCUUUGCGAGUGACCUCUGGGCUCCGCUCCUCACUCCUGCUGUACAGGCACUGUCUUCAGCCCGAGUUCCAGGGGCCUCGGGGGCUGUUUGUAUCUUGUUCCUUUGUGAAGUGUGUUGCAGAACCGACGCUUACUGUGCGAGAAUCGGAGGGCGCGCACGCGGAUCCCCCGCCUGGCCUGGACCCCGUGGGGUCAGGUUCCCUGCCGGGCGGGGGGCACCGGUGCCGCCCCGUGUUCUCCCACGGGGCCCUGGUUUCGAGUCUCUGUCACAGCCUCUUCCGGCGGCAGCGUGCACCGGGCGGGCCUCCGUGCACACUCAGCACACGCCUGCCACACAGCGUGCGCUUGCGUGUCACUCUGGCACGAAACCUGUCUGCCUCUGUGGAUCCACAGCCUGGCAGAGCCGAGCCGUCACCUGAUUUUUCAGUGUUUCUACCUGUGUGCUGGAGCUCAUGAGUAUUUUAUAAACUCCAUUUAGGUACUUCAGGAAACAUGCAGCAUUUUUUAAAAAAUGAAAAUUGUUUUUCUACUUCAUUUUUCCUUUUAGAGUCAAAGGAUAUUUAUUUAUAGGCCUUUUUUUUUUUAAUAUAGAAUCUGAGGCUGUUUGGGCUUUGACUUAAAUUUCCAUCAGGCCUCUCUCCAGCAGGUAAUCCCUCUCCUUCCGCUGGGUCCCCUGGGGAGGUGUGAACUCAAGGGCCUAGCCCCAAAACACUUUUUCUGCUUUUCUUAAUCCUUUUCCAGUCCCCUCUUUUUUUAUAAACGUUGGCAGUUUGAUGUUUCUGUUUCGGCAUAACGUAAUCCAUUUCACUGUAGCCUAAACUCCAGUCCGAGGUUGGAUAUUGUUCAAAUGAGCAGGGCCCGAGCUGGAAGCGCAAGGCAGCCGCCGCCGUGCCGCUCCUCCCUUGCCCUCAGGCCAGGUCCCUGCUGGAAGCGGCUGCAUCUUCCUGUCAGCCCUGGUUUCCAUGGUGACUGGCGUCACGCUGCCACCCGAGUAUGGCUGACCUUCCUGCAGAGAGAGGAGCCGCAGUCUUUUGCUUGUGGAAGGAGACGCUGGGCUGUGCGGUGCGGAGGGUGAUGAGGAUGUCUGGUGACAGCCGUGCGGACACCACUCCUCUCUGCAGCACUGCCUCCCAGCGCCAGGGUCGCGGGCACAUCCCACUGAGAGCGGGGGUCCUGCCCCAUCUUAGAGUCAAAGGCAGAGGGGCUUCCAGGCCCUGGAUGGGGUAUUUUGGUGUCACCUGAAGUCCCUCUGACAUCACCUUGUUUCAUCAUUUUUUAUGACAGAAUUAGAAACCCAUCCUUCAAGCACAAUAAUCAUCACAGACUUGAGUUUGCUUCCUAAAGCAAAGGCUCCGGGUUUGUUUGGAAAAUUUUUUUGAUUUCUGAAAUGAAUUGAUUUUUAUAUUUGGGGCAUCUCUAUAGAAAGUGACCACCAAGGCCAGUAAGUACGGGAAAAAAUGUUUACUAACUUCCUCAGAGAUUCGUGAUACGCGUUUCUCCACUGACAGACAUUUAAAAACAACCUUCAGCUCCGUUUCAAUCAAUCACCUCGACUUGUUUUUUAGCAUGGACACUGCCAGCAGGACAGACAGGGAUGGAGUAAACCGAAGUCAAUUUCAGGGCUCUUGGCGUGUUGGACACAGAAGAAAUCCUAGUGCAGCCUUUGGUAGCUAACAGUCACUGAUUUUAUAAUUGGAGAAUGCGUAAAGAUUCAUUUUUCAAGGAGAAGAGCCUGCAAAUGGCCAAUGAAGGAGGUAAAUAAACUAAGAUAUUCCGAGGGAAGGGACCCAGGCCACCUCCCUUCCGCAGGUCUGCAGAUGAAGGGUUUUUUGAAUGAAAUGCCACUGUGCAUUUUCAGAAAAAAAAAUCUCUGAUAAACAGACUUUGAAUGGAUGUUUGUUCCUCCUGAUUCUCUUUUCUCUUCGUGGCGACUUAGAGUUGGCGGAUAUUCGGAACUGUGAAUGUACAUAGCGUUGAGUUAAACCCCUUGUGUGUGAGACAGGACGCAGCGGGCCCCUGGUGGCCUGGGGGCCAGACCCGUGGGCAGGUGGGGCAUGGGCCCUGGCCUGCGGGGACCUGCUGGGGUGUGAGGGCAGAGGGAGGGUUGCCAUGAAGGAACUUGGGAUUUUCAAUGGAAUAAGUAAAACAUAAAGUCUAUACUUGGG
rnacentral:misc_RNA from 1 species